GAAUGUAUUGGAACUUGAGAACCAUCACUCCAUGGUGAAAUCUGAAAAGCCUGAAAGUUGCUACUUGCCGACUGAUUGCUGGUAGUUCUUGCAAAGCCUCAGUCAAAUGUGUUUGGUAACAGAUAUAAAAUUGUCAUAGAGAUUAGAUGUUAACAACUUGCAUUCAUCUGCAUUCUUUUCAAAUGUAAAGCUUAAUCUGACAUACAGAUGAGCUGUCCCAUGCCCAGCAUUACAGUUAUGACCUUCUCUCAAGCCAGGCUGAGACCUUUACAUAUUCUUUUAUGGCUUAAGCUCAGCAAAAUGAAGUAAGUCAGAUCCAAUUAGAUUUUUUAAUAGUGCUACUUCCUUCGAUGGCUUUGUGGUAUAUACGACUCAUUUGUGUGGCUUCAAGCCAUGGAAAUCUUACACCAGAAAAAUGUGAAUGGGGAAGAAUGAAUCAAUGUGGAGACCAUGAACCUGAGCUCUGAAUGAAAGGCAAAGAGACACAUAUUCAACGAUCAGCCGUUAGCUUUGGUGAUUACAAAUGAAAAACUCUCUAAAGAACUAUGGACUAAAUCAUCCCCAGAAACUUUCAAAUCAAAACAAAAAAAACAAGCUUCAUGAGUCUUCCGUCGGGGGAGUGUUAUUUUUAUCUAAGACGGCGAGCGUCACAUUUCUGUGUAAUUUGCCCUGAAAACAGCCAGUGGGUUUUUCACGACACAAAUAAUGGUUACCAUGGCAAUCCCUUCAUGCGGCGCUGCCCCGUGGUGCUGGGUUCAGGCCGGAGUUUCACAGGAAAUUCGAGUGCCUGGCCAGCUGUAACUCAUUGAGAGAGGCAGAGCCACCGCUGCUAGAAUUACAGAGGGUUUUUUUUUCGAGCUGUCUUUCACUUAUAAACGAAGGGAACAGCUGUGUGUUUCCACAAAGCAUUCUGAACUUCUAAAACCACAUCUUGCUCUCACACAAAUACGGGCAAGUGAAACUGAAGCUGAGCGCACAUCUCAUGGGCCACAAUUUCUCUUCUGAUCUCUGAGGCAGUGUUUCUCAUUUAAGGGCCUGCUUUGUCAGCUGUGCCAUCCGAAACUGCUGCAAAUCGAGGGAAAGUCCUUCCCCAGGCAACACGAGGCAUGGCACUCCCUUGGUCUGUGCAAGGCUAGCCACUCCAGCAGCAUACUGGCUGUAGGACCUGGGCACUGGGCUCCCUCCCAGCUAACCACUGGGAAGAGCACACUUGCUCCCUUUCUGUGCAGGUAACUCUUCCAUAAUUGAUUUGUUUCUUCAGACCUUUUAGCCUCCACCAUAAAAUCCAAGGGCAAUGAUAUUGUAAUGAUAUUGACAGAUACUGCAGCACAGUUUAAGAUCCUUAGCAUGGCAAAAAAGAAAAGCCUCCCUUCCUCCUUAAUGAAACCAAUUGCCCAGCAGCACCCAGAGUGCUCCAUUUCAUCAGCCUGCACCCAGGCACCAGGGAUGUGGUAACUUCAGAUGAAUUAGGCAUAGGUUCAGUAAUCGCUAUGGGAAACCCCUUAUCAGGUUGCCCAGGAGAAGGCGCGUAGGCUGACGCAGCAGUGCGAAGGGGAGGUACUAGCUCUCUAGGGGAUGAAUCCGGCUGAGGGACUGCCCUGCAGCAAGGUGGCAGCUGAAAACCAUCUGCUGAAGGUUGGAGCGGGGCCGUGACAGCAGGCUAGCCGAGGCUGCAGGAAGGGCUCGGCUCAGUCCAGAGGAGACACGGUGGUCACCAGUGGCCAGUGGAUUUUGGCUUUCUGGACUCUCCAGCCUGGAAGCGUGUCACUAAUGCCAGUAAUGAUGAUCUGGAGGCCACGGUUGUUCACCGCUCUUUGGAGGAGCAAAGCAAAGCGGCAUGACCUGUGGCAGAGGAGCUCAUUGCCAGAACUGGAGUAAAGGCUCAGUGACUAAGCUUACUGGAAAACGGAGUUUCUGCUGGGUGGAAAGAAGUAAAUUGGAGGAAGGAAACUUCGAAUGUGCUCCAUUUGGGCAUACUUGCAGUGGGGAUAUUUUGCUAGCCGAAUGCGUCGUCAAGCCUAUUUCCUCUUGCAAAGUGAGCCUGGCAGGAACCUUCCAGACAGGUAGCGGGGCUCCAUCUGUUCAGUUCUCCUACCAGGAAGCUGAUUUUUCUUAGGGCAAAACUUUAAAUUUCUCUUGGAUAGUUUUAUUUCUGUGAAAAGGGAUAUUUUUUCAUCAGAAAAAUUAUUAUAAAGGAAAACUAGCCUAAUCUGCUCUGGAAAAAAAAAGCUGCUUACAAACAUUUGUUAGGCAGAAGCCGUAGUUUUGAUUCGGAGAUGAUGGACUCAUCAAAGGCAAGCUUUCAGUUUCCUGCGAGGGGAUAAGCCAUCCUAGGAAUACUGAUCCCCCUCAUUUUUAGAGGAGAUCAUUCAGAGUUCUCAUUUUCAUUGCCAGUAAUUCUGUUAUGAGCAGAUAAUUCUAUUAUCUAUCAUCAAUUAUUCUAUUAUCAGAUGGCAUUCGUUCAUGGUAUAAUUAUGAAUAAUUACAUCAAUUAUUCUCUCAAUUUGAGUCUUGAUACACAUUGUUUGUAGUCUGAAAACAACACCACAACAGGUCUGGGCUGUCUGCAGAAUUCAGGAAAGGAGAUUGCACCUUGGAUCAGAUCACCAUGACAAGUGUCCCGCGCAUCACCGGAGCCUCUAGAGACAUCCUCGCAGAGCUAUUCUGACACAAACAAGUAUCCCUUUCCUCUUAGAAGUGUGAAACCUGAUAUAGGAUUGUUUUGACUGAUCUAAACACUAGAGGCAGUGGUUACAGGUAGCAGCUCUUCCUGAAGGGAAAGACAGCUACCAAAUACUGGAGAGGUCUCACUGCUUGUGGUAAGAGGUCCUACCACAAGCACCUGCUUGCUGGGUUUAUCCUUGCUUUUGAGAGAAAUUUCUGCUUAGAUAUUGCAACUCUCAGAGGUCUUUUUUCUUGUCACCCUCCCAGAUUAAACUGCUUGCUGCUAUCUCAGGUUACUAGCAGCUGAAGAACUGUGCCAGAACCUCUUCUCACUUGUAUCUCCGCCCCUGCAGCUGUGGUCAGAUGAACAUUUUCUUAGUUGACUGAAUGUAGUUUAUCAUAGGAUACCUCAGGACAAGAACCCCGAGUGGCACCUCAACUAAAACUAAUCUAGCUACCCCAUUUAAGGGUAUCAAGUUUGAGGAGACAUCUCGUGGAAAUCCAGUUACGACAGCAGCAAUGUGCUGAGUUACACUUGGUGAUGUUCUGACACUAUCUGAAAACCUAGUUAAUGCUGCUGGGUUCUUCACAGUGACAUCAGAGUUAGAUCUAUGCAAUAAAUAAAUCUUUUCAAUUUUUGAGGUGAAAAACUGAAAAAGAAAACUGCUGUAAUUCAAGUCAAUCCAAAAUUAAGGCUGUAACAGU